UCUCAAUGCAAUCGAUUAAAUUGAACAUGUUCAGAGGAAAUUCUCAAGGAUGUUUUUCUACAAAUUCAACAUGGAGAAACAAUCGUAUGACAAAAGGCUCAAGUUUCUAAAGUUACACUCGUUGGAGUCACGACGGUUGGAAAAUGACAAACUCACUCUGUUCAAACUGAUCCAUCAUCGUAUCGAUUCUCAACUUUAUCAUCAUCUUAAGUUUGAUGGACGUUCUACAUCCACACGGCAAAAGACUUUGUUUUACCUUCCAAAGUUCAAGACUAAGCGAAAUUGUCCUAUUUAUCGCCUGCAAGAGCACCACGACGUAUAUUUCUCACGAUUAAACUUAAUGGAUGACAGGUUUUCUGUAUUUAAGAGCCUAGUCAAGGAUCAUUUCGCUUUUUGAUUAUGGUGAUGGUUGUUGAUAUUGUUAACGUUUUGCUAUGCUUUUGGUUUAUGAUUUUUCUUAAUGUUUUCUAUUUUUUGUUAAUCGCCGGC